GGACCUCGCUCUUCCCUAGAUCCGCCACCACCCUCCCUAACCCCACCUAUGAUCCGCUGCCGCGCUCCUCUCCUCAUCCCAUCACCACCCCUCAAACCAGCCACCCCGCGCGCCUCUUGCUCUUCCCCAAGAGCUGCCUCCAUCUCUCGCUCUUCCGUCCGCUGGUGGAGGCGUGACCCGCAGUGCGAACGGCGGUGGAUCAUACCGUCACUGCGGCGGCGGGCUAUGGCAUCUGGAUCCGCACGGCCGCUAUGUGAUGGCCCAUCGCCCUCACCUUGAUCCGCCGCCAUCGCGGCGCUGGUGAUCGGCUGAGUGCGUUUCCAUGAUUGGCAAGCGGAGAAGCAGCGGUAGCGGCACCGGAUCUGCUCAAGUUGGUUUGGCCUGCUAUCAUCUUCAUCUAAAGAACCAUAUGUCCUUCAGUUCGUUUUGCCUGCUAUCUUGAAUCGUUUCUUCAUUGUCCUUAGCUAUGUCUGUUAGGUCAUGGUUGAAAAAAAAUUAUCAAGUAUAUUACCUGUUGGAUGCAGUGAUAGUUGCUCAGUAGAUUUGUUAGAUUCUUCUUGCUGUUUAGUGUUAGAUCCUUCUCUGCUCUACCUCUGUCAGAAAGAGGAGACCAUGGGGCAUGUCUUAUUUGUUCUGUUUUUAAUGCAUCUUCUGCUAGGUACAAAAUGCUAAAUAACAGCCUUAUGCCUUCUAAUGAAUCUUUAAAAUAACAGCCUAUGAGAAUUUGAAUGGGUAGUUGACAGCUGGAACUUCUGAUGUCAAGUUAAUCUUCAGAACGUUAGCAAAGUGGUGAUAUUCCUGUUAAUAAGACCUGCCUGCUGCUUAGGUUGGCUGUGCCAUUUUAAAAGGUUAUACGACUGAAUGUCUGAAUAUUCUUAUCUGCAACAGUUUAAUUGAAAAAAAGAAGAUAGGAAAAGAGAGAGAGUAAUGUAUUGCAUUUUCAAGGAAUUUGUUGUUUGGAAGUAGUCAUGUGUAUGGUGUGUGGACUAUUGGACUGCAUGAUUUGAUUGUAUCAGGGGUGAUGUCUAAUUCAUGGGUAAAGAAAGUUGGUGGCAGGGCAGCUUGAGUCUUGAUGAUCGCUUUCAGUUGGGGUCAGUACUACUGAACAUGUACAGGUGGUGAAAUUGCAAUUGAGGCCUGUAUGUUAGAAAUUGCAACACCUGGAGGCUGGAUAUCUCUGCUCUACCGCUGUCAGAUUUUUUUAGUUGUUAGAACUAUUACAUCUAAUUUUAUCUGAGCUGAUGGCAUCAACUGCAUUUUUCUGCUAACACAUGGAUAAACAUGCUUGUGUGAAUCUUGUUGUUUCUGCAACUUGUGUUAAUUUAUUUAUUAUUCAGUCAUUCAGUGUCAAGAAUUCAAGCAAUUGAAAGUUUCCCUAUGCAUGUAAAUUUUUGCAGGGAUAAAAGUCCUAAAACCGCCUUCUCGCAAUUGAAGUGUCCGAUGAAGUAAGUUGGAGCAUGCAAAUACAAUGAAGUGUUUGAAGAAGAAAUUAUUUUCAGAUUACAACUGAGGCAAUAUGAUUUCCGUUAGCUUGGUAAUAUGAUUUCUGUUAGCUUGGAAACAGAACAUGCAAGGGACCAAGACGAGAUGAAGAUAAAGCAUACUGAGUUGGAGGCGAAACUGGAGCGUCUGCUGGGUCAAAUCUGAAAGUUGUAGGUGAAGAAAGCUGCAAGUUCAAAUAUAAAACAACCUGGUGAUGUAACUUUUUCAGGGAGAAGUGAAGCUCAAAUCUGAAAGUUGUAGGUGAAGAAAGCUGCAAGUUUAUAUUUGAAACAACCUUGUGAUGUAACUUUUCAAGGGAGAAGUGAAGCUGCGAUGGAGAGAGGCACCAGAACGGGCAAUGAAGUGUAGGUUUUAGUUGUUUGUGAAAAAAUUUAGAAAUAAUUGUAUAAUAUUGUCACUUUGUCUGUGUUUCUUUAUCAAGGCAUUGUUGAAUGAAGUACUCAGUUUCUUUUUGGUGAAGCAAAGAAUUGAUUGCCAAUGCAAUGUCAUGGAUAAUUUAUUUAGG